CUUUGAACUGACCUUUACCUCAUCCUAGCAGGCCAGGACGCGCCUCUGAGUGACAACGUCGCCUGGUGCAAUUACCGAGCUUCAGAUGAGGCAGUCCUUUACAAAUCACCUCGGACUUUACACAUCUGCUGGCUGUCGGCAUCUGCCAGGAGCGCUCACCCGAAAAUAAUGAAAACCCUCUCAUUAUUGUUCCGUGGCAGGUGGCCUGGAGGCCCUCUAGAAUUCUGCACAGAUGCAUCUGGCAUGGUACUUAGUGACCAGCAUGCUGGAUGCAGUACUGGGAGAAACAUCUAGAUGAUAUAAACUCCAGAUCUGAUGGCCCACCUAGAACCCAAGCAGUUCACACGAGGAAGCUUCCACUUCCCGAGCACCUCCCACCUUCCUGCCACACCUCAGACCUCAUCUGCGCUGUGAGGGAGGCUCCUGAGGGCCACUGAAAUGGGUGCAGGGCACAGAGAUACGCACCUGCCUCAGCGUCCUCGGAGACGUUACCAGCACCUCAGGGGAAACGCUGUGAAACCAAGUUUAUACAACUUUCAUGUCAUAUGAACUCAUAUGGAUCCCAAAUGGAGCUACCCUGUUCCUCUCACAGCUGCGGAGGAUGCCACAAUCCCGCUGAGCACACGCCCCCCCACCAACUGUGCUGUGAGUGCGCUCCCUGGACCUCCUAACUGUCAUUCUUUAAAACACUUUCAUGCUUUUCAUUGAUUGACCUCAUAAUAAACAUAGAUUUGAACUC